rnacentral:tRNA from 1 species
CUUAAUGUGGCAGAAAUUAUGCAAUGAAUUUAAGCUUCAUUUAUAAAGAAUCCUCUUUCGUUAAGA